CCGGUAAACGGCGGCCGUAACUAUAACGGUCCUAAGGUAGCGAAAUUCCUUGUCGGGUAAGUUCCGACCUGCACGAAUGGCGUAAUGAUGGCCAGGCUGUCUCCACCCGAGACUCAGUGAAAUUGAACUCGCUGUGAAGAUGCAGUGUACCCGCGGCAAGACGGAAAGACCCCGUGAACCUUUACUAUAGCUUGACACUGAACAUUGAGCCUUGAUGUGUAGGAUAGGUGGGAGGCUUUGAAGUGUGGACGCCAGUCUGCAUGGAGCCGACCUUGAAAUACCACCCUUUAAUGUUUGAUGUUCUAACGUUGACCCGUAAUCCGGGUUGCGGACAGUGUCUGGUGGGUAGUUUGACUGGGGCGGUCUCCUCCUAAAGAGUAACGGAGGAGCACGAAGGUUGGCUAAUCCUGGUCGGACAUCAGGAGGUUAGUGCAAUGGCAUAAGCCA
rnacentral:rRNA from 1 species